rnacentral:rRNA from 1 species
AGAGUUUGAUCCUGGCUCAGGAUGAACGCUAGCGGCAGGCCUAACACAUGCAAGUCGAGGGGCAUCACGAGGUAGCAAUACUUUGGUGGCGACCGGCGCACGGGUGCGUAACGCGUAUGUAACCUACCUAUAACAGGGGCAUAACACUGAGAAAUUGGUACUAAUUCCCCAUAAUAUUCGGAGAGGCAUCUCUCCGGGUUGAAAACUCCGGUGGUUAUAGAUGGACAUGCGUUGUAUUAGCUAGUUGGUGAGGUAACGGCUCACCAAGGCAACGAUACAUAGGGGGACUGAGAGGUUAACCCCCCACACUGGUACUGAGACACGGACCAGACUCCUACGGGAGGCAGCAGUGAGGAAUAUUGGUCAAUGGACGCAAGUCUGAACCAGCCAUGCCGCGUGCAGGAAGACGGCUCUAUGAGUUGUAAACUGCUUUUGUACGAGGGUAAACUCACCUACGUGUAGGUGACUGAAAGUAUCGUACGAAUAAGGAUCGGCUAACUCCGUGCCAGCAGCCGCGGUAAUACGGAGGAUUCAAGCGUUAUCCGGAUUUAUUGGGUUUAAAGGGUGCGUAGGCGGUUUGAUAAGUUAGAGGUGAAAUUUCGGGGCUCAACCCUGAACGUGCCUCUAAUACUGUUGAGCUAGAGAGUAGUUGCGGUAGGCGGAAUGUAUGGUGUAGCGGUGAAAUGCUUAGAGAUCAUACAGAACACCGAUUGCGAAGGCAGCUUACCAAACUAUAUCUGACGUUGAGGCACGAAAGCGUGGGGAGCAAACAGGAUUAGAUACCCUGGUAGUCCACGCAGUAAACGAUGAUAACUCGUUGUCGGCGAUACACAGUCGGUGACUAAGCGAAAGCGAUAAGUUAUCCACCUGGGGAGUACGUUCGCAAGAAUGAAACUCAAAGGAAUUGACGGGGGCCCGCACAAGCGGAGGAACAUGUGGUUUAAUUCGAUGAUACGCGAGGAACCUUACCCGGGCUUGAAAGUUAGCGACGAUUCUUGAAAGAGGAUUUCCCUUCGGGGCGCGAAACUAGGUGCUGCAUGGUUGUCGUCAGCUCGUGCCGUGAGGUGUCGGGUUAAGUCCCAUAACGAGCGCAACCCCUACCGUUAGUUGCCAUCAGGUGAAGCUGGGCACUCUGGCGGGACUGCCGGUGUAAGCCGAGAGGAAGGUGGGGAUGACGUCAAAUCAGCACGGCCCUUACGUCCGGGGCUACACA